rnacentral:lncRNA from 1 species
AUGUCACUUUCCAAGAAGCCUGUUUCCCGGCCGGCCGACCUCGAAGGCCUCGCCACACUCGCUCACCAGACCGCGCUCACCGCUGCCUGGUAUUUUCUUGCUGAUCAGUUCACUAAUGGUCUGCUCCCUCCCCCAGAGCAGGGGCCUUGCCUGUCUUGUUCCCCGGGACAUUCGGGUGCCUGGAUCCUGGGCUCUGUAAGCGCCUGUGGACGGGACAUCGACUGCUACGGCCCGGGGAGGUUGGAGCCUCCAUCCCCACGGAGGAAACCGAGCCUGGAGAGGCUAAGGCCAGGCUCCUCCCGGGACACAUGGCAAGACCACGAGGGCACGUCGGUCCACCACGCUCCUGUCACCACUCCCUACGCCACUCAGGGUGACUGCCACCCCCAUGGCUCGGGCGUCACUUCAGGAGGCUGUGUGACACGCAGUUACUGUCCCCCAUGGGGACAAUGACGCACCCACCCCUAGGGUUGGAAGAAGGAUCAGUGAACCAGGACACGCCACGUGCCCACAG